AGUCGAGCGAUGAACACCUUCGGGUGUGAAUUAGCGGCGAACGGGUGAGGAACACGUGAGGAAUCUGCCUUCAACUCUGGGAUAACUCCGGGAAACCGGGGCUAAUACCGGAUAUGAGCCUCGAUCGCAUGAUUGGGGCUGGAAAGUUUUUCGGUUGAAGAUGACUUCGCGGCCUAUCAGCUUGUUGGUGAGGUAAUGGCUCACCAAGGCGACGACGGGUAGCCGGCCUGAGAGGGCGACCGGCCACACUGGGACUGAGACACGGCCCAGACUCCUACGGGAGGCAGCAGUGGGGAAUAUUGGGCAAUGGAGGAAACUCUGACCCAGCGACGCCGCGUGAGGGAUGAAGGCCUUCGGGUUGUAAACCUCUUUCAGUAGGGAAGAAGCGAAAGUGACGGUACCUACAGAAGAAGCACCGGCUAACUAUGUGCCAGCAGCCGCGGUAAUACAUAGGGUGCAAGCGUUGUCCGGAAUUAUUGGGCGUAAAGAGCUCGUAGGUGGUUCGAUACGUCGGAUGUGAAAAUCAGGGGCUCAACCCCUGACCUGCAUCCGAUACGGUCGAGCUAGAGUUUGGUAGGGGAGACUGGAAUUCCUGGUGUAGCGGUGGAAUGCGCAGAUAUCAGGAGGAACACCGAUGGCGAAGGCAGGUCUCUGGGCCAAUACUGACACUGAGGAGCGAAAGCGUGGGGAGCGAACAGGAUUAGAUACCCUGGUAGUCCACGCCGUANACGGUGGGCGCUAGUUGUGCGAACCUUCCACGGUUUGUGCGACGCAGCUAACGCAUUAAGCGCCCCGCCUGGGGAGUACGAUCGCAAGAUUAAAACUCAAAGGAAUUGACGGGGCCCCGCACAAGCAGCGGAGCAUGCGGCUUAAUUCGACGCAACGCGAAGAACCUUACC
rnacentral:rRNA from 1 species